rnacentral:rRNA from 1 species
UACGAAGGGGGCAAGCGUUAUUCGGAAUUACUGGGCGUAAAGAGCGUGUAGGUGGUUGUCUAAGUCGGUUGUUAAAUAUCACGGCCUAACUGUGAAACUGCGAUUGAUACUGGAUGACUAGAGGGCAGGAGAGAGAAGUGGAAUUCUCGGAGUAGCGGUAAAAUGCGUAGAUCUCGAGAGGAACACCAAUGGCGAAGGCAGCUUCUUGGUCUGUCCCUGACACUCAAAUGCGACAGCGUGGGGAG